AUGCCUCCGCGGGCGCCGGCGGCGCCGGCGUUCCCGUCCCUGGACGCCUACUACCUCCACCACCUCCGCUCUUGCUCGACGCCGCGCCACGCCGCCGCCGUCCACGCCCACGUCGUCCGUGCCCACCCCUUCCCUUCCCUCUUCCUCCGCAACACGCUGCUCGCCGCGUACUGCCGCCUCGGCGGCCCCGCGCGCCGCCUGCUCGACGAAAUGCCCCGCGCCAACGCCGUCUCCUUCAACCUCCUCAUCGACGCCUACUCCCGCUCCGGACAGGCAGGCGCCUCUCUCGAGACCUUCACGCGCGCUCGCCGUUCCGUGGGCGUCAAGGCCGACCGGUUCACGUACGCGGCCGCGCUCGCCGCGUGCUCGCGGGCCGGGCGCCUGAGGGAGGGCAAGGCCGUGCACGCGCUGGCCGUCCUCGAGGGGCUCGCCGGGGGCGUGUUCGUCUCCAACUCGCUCGUCAGCAUGUACGCCAGGUGCGGCGACAUGGGACAGGCGAGGCGGGUGUUUGACGUCUCCGAGGAGCGGGACGACGUCUCGUGGAACGCGCUGGUCUCUGGCUACGUGCGUGCUGGCGCGCAUGACGAGAUGCUGAGGGUGUUUGCUCUGAUGCGCCGUUCUGGGAUGGGCUUGAACUCUUUCGCUCUUGGAAGUGUCAUCAAGUGUUGUGCUGGCAGCGAUGACUCUCUGAGGGAUGUUGCCGCGGCGGUUCAUGGAUGCGUGGUGAAGGCUGGGUUGGACUCCGACGUGUUUCUUGCGAGCGUGAUGGUUGACAUGUAUGCCAAGAAAGGCGCAUUGAGUGAAGCUGUUGCGCUCUUUAAGUCGGUGCUUGAUCCCAAUGUGGUUGUGUUCAAUGCCAUGAUUGCGGGGCUGUGUCGUGAUGAGGCUGCUGUCGGUAUGGAUGUCCUGAGAGAAGCGUUAAGUCUGUAUUCCGAGGUGCAGAGUCGAGGAAUGGAGCCUACCGAGUUCACAUUCUCCAGCAUCAUACGAGCGUGUAACUUGGCAGGUGACAUUGAAUUCGGAAAACAGAUACAUGGACAAGUACUGAAGCAUUGUGUCCAGGGAGAUGACUUCAUUGGGAGUGCACUGAUUGACUUGUACUUCAACUCUGGCAAUAUGGAAGAUGGGUUCAGGUGUUUCAGAUCUGUUCCGAAGCAAGAUGUCGUCACGUGGACAGCGAUGAUUUCAGGGUGUGUUCAAAAUGAGCUUUUCGAGAGGGCACUGACCCUGUUCCAUGAAUUAUUAGCUGCUGGACUGAAACCUGACCCUUUCACUAUAUCGAUAGUGAUGAAUGCGUGUGCCAGUUUGGCUGUUGCAAGGACUGGUGAGCAGAUUCAGUGCUUUGCCACAAAAUCUGGUUUCGGUCGGUUCACUGCCAUUGGAAACUCCUGCAUACAUAUGUAUGCUAGAUCAGGGGAUGUUGGUGCUGCAGUCCGGAGGUUUCAGGAGAUGGAAUUACACGACGUUGUGUCUUGGUCUGCUGUAAUAUCAAGCCAUGCACAGCAUGGCUGUGCUAGUGAGGCUUUACGGUUUUUCAGUGAAAUGGUAGAUGCAAAGGUGGUGCCAAAUGAGAUUACUUUUCUCGCUGUCCUUACUGCAUGUAGCCAUGGAGGAUUGGUUGAUGAGGGACUCAGGUAUUACGAAAUCAUGCAAGAGGAAUACGCGUUGAGCCCAACCAUCAAGCAUUGCACAUGUGUUGUCGACCUUCUUGGUCGAGCUGGGAGACUAGCUGAUGCUGAGGCUUUUAUAAGGGAUUCAAUCUUCCAUGAUGAACCUGUCAUCUGGCGGUCUUUGCUAGCCUCAUGUCGUAUCCAUCGAGACAUGGAGAGAGGUCAACUUGUUGCAGAUAGGAUAAUGGAACUACAACCCAGUUCCUCAGCAUCCUAUGUAAAUCUCUACAACAUUUACCUAGAUGCUGGGGAGCUCUCCCUAGCUUCAAAAAUUAGAGAUGUGAUGAAAGAGCGAGGAGUGAAGAAAGAACCUGGUCUGAGUUGGAUUGAACUAAGGUCUGGGGUUCACUCUUUUGUUGCCGGUGACAAAUCCCAUCGAGAGAGCAACACAAUAUACUCGAAACUGGCAGAGAUGCUUUCCAAGAUCGAUAAAUUGACAGUCACUGACGCUUCCAGCACAAAGUCAGAUGACAUCAUUAGAAACGAGCAAAGUUGGAUGAAUUGGCACAGUGAGAAACUAGCUGUGGCAUUAGGAUUGAUUCAUUUACCGCAGUCAGCACCUAUACGAGUAAUGAAGAACUUGAGAGUCUGCCGUGACUGCCAUUUAGCUAUGAAAUUGAUAUCGAAGAGUGAAAACAGAGAAAUAAUCUUGAGAGAUGCGAUUCGCUUCCACCACUUCAGAGAUGGCUCAUGUUCUUGUGCGGAUUACUGGUAG
rnacentral:rRNA from 1 species